UACGUAGGGUGCAAGCGUUAAUCGGAAUUACUGGGCGUAAAGCGUGCGCAGGCGGCUUUGCAAGACAGGUGUGAAAUCCCCGGGCUUAACCUGGGAACUGCAUUUGUGACUGCAAGGCUAGAGUGCGGCAGAGGGGGAUGGAAUUCCGCGUGUAGCAGUGAAAUGCGUAGAUAUGCGGAGGAACACCGAUGGCGAAGGCAAUCCCCUGGGCCUGCACUGACGCUCAUGCACGAAAGCGUGGGGAGCAAACAGG
rnacentral:rRNA from 1 species